UCCGGUAUGGUCUAGUGGUUAGGAUACCUGGCUCUCACCUAGGAGGCUCGGGUUCGAUUCCCGGUACCGGAA
rnacentral:tRNA from 1 species